UAGAGUUUGAUCCUGGCUCAGAUUGAACGCUGGCGGCAUGCUUUACACAUGCAAGUCGAACGGCAGCGCGGGGCAACCUGGCGGCGAGUGGCGAACGGGUGAGUAAUAUAUCGGAACGUACCCAGAAGUGGGGGAUAACGUAGCGAAAGUUACGCUAAUACCGCAUACGAUCUACGGAUGAAAGUGGGGGACCUUCGGGCCUCAUGCUUUUGGAGCGGCCGAUAUCUGAUUAGCUAGUUGGUGAGGUAAAGGCUCACCAAGGCGACGAUCAGUAGCUGGUCUGAGAGGACGACCAGCCACACUGGGACUGAGACACGGCCCAGACUCCUACGGGAGGCAGCAGUGGGGAAUUUUGGACAAUGGGCGCAAGCCUGAUCCAGCAAUGCCGCGUGAGUGAAGAAGGCCUUCGGGUUGUAAAGCUCUUUUGUCAGGGAAGAAACGGUCUCAGCUAAUAUCUGGGGCUAAUGACGGUACCUGAAGAAUAAGCACCGGCUAACUACGUGCCAGCAGCCGCGGUAAUACGUAGGGUGCAAGCGUUAAUCGGAAUUACUGGGCGUAAAGCGUGCGCAGGCGGUUUUGUAAGUCUGUCGUGAAAGCCCCGGGCUUAACCUGGGAAUGGCGCUUGUGACUGCAAGGCUAGAGUAUGUCAGAGGGGGGUAGAAUUCCACGUGUAGCAGUGAAAUGCGU
rnacentral:rRNA from 1 species